rnacentral:ribozyme from 12 species
GCAACGGAAGAAAAUCAGUAAACAAAAAAAAAGGAAACAUGGAGUUAUAUCUCUUCUUGAUAAUGCAAUUUUGUAAAUUUUGAAUAAGUUGCCUCAGGAGUUAUCUUGUUCAUCUCUCAUCCUCC